GGUAUCAGAAGUGCGAAUGCUGACAUAAGUAACGAUAAAGCGGGUGAAAAGCCCGCUCGCCGGAAGACCAAGGGUUCCUGUCCAACGUUAAUCGGGGCAGGGUGAGUCGACCCCUAAGGCGAGGCCGAAAGGCGUAGUCGAUGGGAAACGGGUUAAUAUUCCCGUACUUGGUGUUACUGCGAAGGGGGGACGGAGAAGGCUAUGUUGGCCGGGCGACGGUUGUCCCGGUUUAAGCGUGUAGGUGUGUGUUCCAGGUAAAUCCGGUUCACUUUAACACUGAGGCGUGACGACGAGGCACUACGGUGCUGAAGCAACAAAUGCCCUGCUUCCAGGAAAAGCCUCUAAGCAUCAGGUAACAUCAAAUCGUACCCCAAACCGACACAGGUGGUCAGGUAGAGAAUACCAAGGCGCUUGAGAGAACUCGGGUGAAGGAACUAGGCAAAAUGGUGCCGUAACUUCGGGAGAAGGCACGCUGACACGUAGGUGAAGUGAUUUACUCAUGGAGCUGAAGUCAGUCGAAGAUACCAGCUGGCUGCAACUGUUUAUUAAAAACACAGCACUGUGCAAACACGAAAGUGGACGUAUACGGUGUGACGCCUGCCCGGUGCCGGAAGGUUAAUUGAUGGGGUCAGCGCAAGCGAAGCUCCUGAUCGAAGCCCCGGUAAACGGCGGCCGUAACUAUAACGGUCCUAAGGUAGCGAAAUUCCUUGUCGGGUAAGUUCCGACCUGCACGAAUGGCGUAAUGAUGGCCAGGCUGUCUCCACCCGAGACUCAGUGAAAUUGAACUCGCUGUGAAGAUGCAGUGUACCCGCGGCAAGACGGAAAGACCCCGUGAACCUUUACUAUAGCUUGACACUGAACAUUGAGCCUUGAUGUGUAGGAUAGGUGGGAGGCUUUGAAGCGUGGACGCCAGUCUGCAUGGAGCCGACCUUGAAAUACCACCCUUUAAUGUUUGAUGUUCUAACGUGGACCCGUGAUCCGGGUUGCGGACAGUGUCUGGUGGGUAGUUUGACUGGGGCGGUCUCCUCCUAAAGAGUAACGGAGGAGCACGAAGGUUGGCUAAUCCUGGUCGGACAUCAGGAGGUUAGUGCAAUGGCAUAAGCCAGCUUGACUGCGAGCGUGACGGCGCGAGCAGGUGCGAAAGCAGGUCAUAGUGAUCCGGUGGUUCUGAAUGGAAGGGCCAUCGCUCAACGGAUAAAAGGUACUCCGGGGAUAACAGGCUGAUACCGCCCAAGAGUUCAUAUCGACGGCGGUGUUUGGCACCUCGAUGUCGGCUCAUCACAUCCUGGGGCUGAAGUAGGUCCCAAGGGUAUGGCUGUUCGCCAUUUAAAGUGGUACGCGAGCUGGGUUUAGAACGUCGUGAGACAGUUCGGUCCCUAUCUGCCGUGGGCGCUGGAGAACUGAGGGGGGCUGCUCCUAGUACGAGAGGACCGGAGUGGACGCAUCACUGGUGUUCGGGUUGUCAUGCCAAUGGCACUGCCCGGUAGCUAAAUGCGGAAGAGAUAAGUGCUGAAAGCAUCUAAGCACGAAACUUGCCCCGAGAUGAGUUCU
rnacentral:rRNA from 1 species